ACCUGUGAACACCACUCUGCUCUGCAGGCAUGUGGCCAGAGGCUGGAGGAUGGAGGGAUCUCAUUACAGGCAUCUGUGGUUUUGUUUUGUUUUACAGAAAAAAAAAGUGAUAAAGCAAUCAGAAGACCAAGAGGUUUACUGUUGAUGCUUAGGGUCGUCUGACCUUGGCUGGCCAAUAGACCUACACGGCCAAAUUAAUUUAUGAGAGUAAUAAUUUUUCAAAAGCCAAUUUUUUUUCUGUAUUUUCUUUGUGAAACUGCCAAUAUCAUGAAUAGAAAGGGAGAACCAUAAAGGAGAAAGAACGUGAUGUUCAGUUAUGAUCGUGUGAACCUAAAGAAAAAACGUGGAGGCAGGUGCCAUCAGCCGAACUCUAGGGACUUGAUGGUGUUGCUUGGAAGGCAUCCAUACCUGCAUUUUGCAUUCUUUGUAUGUAAUCAUAUUGCCAAAGACAAAC
rnacentral:lncRNA from 1 species